CCACUAGGCAAUGAAGAACGCUUGAUGUAUUUUAAGCAAAGAUCAAUACAAAAACAUUCCAGUUUGACUGAAAGGGGCGGCAGGUGAGAGCAUAGGUUGGAGCUGUUUCCGUUUAGGUAAAAUGGAUAGAAUAAUAGUACUUACCUCAAAGGAUUGUUGAAGAGAAUCAACAAGAUGAUAUCCCUGAAGCACUGGGAAUAGUGUCUGGCACACAGCACUCUCCCAGGAGCACACCGCGGCGCUAGAGAAGACCAGGAAAAAGGACCUGAGCCAGCUUGCCGUCUUAACAAAAAUUUCAAACUUUGCAAAGCGGUAUACCUUCUUAUUCUCCAGUUCAGUAUUGCCAGUGAAGUCAUACUGAACGCAGACAAGGAAAAGAAAGAAAAAGAAACUCAAUGAGAUAUGUUGUCAUCUUCCCUGUUUUAUGGAUGAAGUUCUAAGUAGAGGUUCGGAGAAGAUGUUCAGCCUCAGAACGUAGCCACCUUGCUGUGAGAAAGCCCAACCAUCUUGUACAGCGAGACCACAUGGAGAGGCGCAUGUGGAAAGGAACGGAGGCUACAAGCCGAUAGCCAGCAUCGACUGCCAGGCACGGAGAGUGAGUCUUCAGAUGAAUCCAGCCUCAGCCUAGAGUCUUUUGUCUCAGGCCCCAGACACUGUGGAGCAGGGACAAGCCAUCCCCACUGUGUCCCACCCGCAUUCCUGAUCCACAGAAUCUAUGAGCACAAUAAAUAGUUGCUUUA
rnacentral:lncRNA from 1 species